rnacentral:rRNA from 1 species
UACGUAGGGGGCAAGCGUUGUCCGGAUUCAUUGGGCGUAAAGAGCUCGUAGGCGGUUCAGCAAGUCGGGUGUGAAACCUCCAGGCUCAACCUGGAGACGCCACCCGAUACUGCUGUGACUUGAGUCCGGUAGGGGACCACGGAAUUCCUGGUGUAGCGGUGAAAUGCGCAGAGUAUCAGGAGGAACACCGGUGGCGAAGGCGGUGGUCUGGGCCGGAACUGACGCUGAGGAGCGAAAGCGUGGGGAGCAAACAGG